rnacentral:rRNA from 1 species
AGAAUAAUUCACAAUGGACGAAAGUCUGAUGGUGCAACGCCGCGUGGAGGAUGACGGUCCUAGGACUGUAAACUCCUGUCAUCAGGGAGUAAGCCCUGGAGGUUAAUAGCCUACAGGGUUGAUAGUACCUGAAGAGGAAGGGACGGCUACCUUCGUGCCAGCAGCCGCGGUAAUACGAAGGUCCCAAGCGUUGUUCGGAAUCACUGGGCGUAAAGGGAGCGUAGGCUGUGCGGUAAGUCAGAUGUGAAAUCCCGGGGCUCAACCCCGGAACUGCAUCCGAUACUGCCGCACUAGAGGAUUGGAGAGGUAGCUGGAAUUCACGGUGUAGCAGUGAAAUGCGUAGAUAUCGUGAGGAACACCAAUGGCGAAAGCAAGCUACUGGACAACUCCUGACGCUGAGGCUCGAAGGCUAGGGUAGCG